rnacentral:rRNA from 1 species
CCUACGGGUGGCAGCAGUGAGGAAUAUUGGUCAAUGGCCGAGAGGCUGAACCAGCCAAGUCGCGUGAGGGAAGAAUGUCCUAUGGAUUGUAAACCUCUUUUGUCAGGGAGCAAAGUCACCCACGUGUGGGUGUUGGAGAGUACCUGAAGAAAAAGCAUCGGCUAACUCCGUGCCAGCAGCCGCGGUAAUACGGAGGAUCCGAGCGUUAUCCGGAUUCAUUGGGUUUAAAGGGUGCGUAGGUUGUUUUAUAAGUUAGCGGUGAAAUACCGAUGCUCAACAUCGGGGCUGCCGCUAAUACUGUAGGACUAGAGAUCGGAUGCAGCAGGCGGAAUGUGUAGUGUAGCGGUGAAAUGCAUAGAUAUUACACAGAACACCGAUUGCGAAGGCAGCUUGCUAGGCCGGAUCUGACACUGAUGCACGAAAGCGUGGGGAUCGAACAGGAUUAGAUACCCCAGUAGUC